GUACACGGAAGAACAACUGCUAUUUGUGCGCAAGAAAGCGAGAAGGACCUGGCCGCCUGAACUUCACAGGCUCUUUUUGGAGGCACUCGAACAUCUUGGGGGAUGGCAAGCAGCAACUCCUAAGAAAAUAAAAGAAUUCAUGAAAGUUGAGGGCCUCACAUCCGAUGAAAUAAAAAGCCAUCUGCAAAAGUACAGACUUCAUGUGAGAAAUUCUUCAGUUUCUGAAGCAAAAGAAAUAUGGAUGGCUCAAGAAGAACUACCAAACCUCAGCAUGUUUAGGGCUGGUUCUCCUCAGUGCCUUGCCCUCGGAAGAAGGCCUCGAGCUCAUCAUCAAGGAUGUUGAAUUAUGCAGAUGAAAAGAUUUACAUAUAAAUGUGGAAGUUACAUUAAAAUCCAUUAAUAAUUUAUAAUUAGCUGACUCGUAGAGGGCUAGAAAACACCUCGGAAAGGAGAUUUGCAGAUACUAUGAGACAAUUGAAUUAGUCGUCCCUUUAAGUGGCUCUUCUGUUAUUCUUAAAUAACUUAAUUACUCUAAUAUUAUAUGUGUAAUCUAAAUUUCGAUCCUAUGAAACUGCUGUUUAAGUUUAA